UACGUAGGGGGCAAGCGUUGUCCGGAUUUAUUGGGCGUAAAGAGCGUGUAGGCGGCCAGACAGGUCCGUUGUGAAAACUCGAGGCUCAACCUCGAGACGCCGAUGGAAACCGUUUGGCUAGAGUCCGGAAGAGGAGAGUGGAAUUCCUGGUGUAGCGGUGAAAUGCGCAGAUAUCAGGAAGAACACCCGUGGCUAAGGCGGCUCACUGCCCGGUACUGACGCUGGAGGGUGCGAAAGCGUGGGGAG
rnacentral:rRNA from 1 species